GUUCGAUUCCGGAGAGGGAGCCUGAGAAACGGCUACCACAUCCAAGGAAGGCAGCAGGCGCGCAAAUUACCCAUUCCCGACGCGGGGAGGUAGUGACGAAAAAUAACAAUGCAGGACUCGUUCGAGGCCCUGUAAUUGGAAUGAGUACACUUUAAAAGCUUUAACGAGUAUCCAUUGGAGGGCAAGUCUGGUGCCAGCAGCCGCGGUAAUUCCAGCUCCAAAAGUAUAUAUUUAAGUUGUUGCGGUUAAAAAGCUCGUAGUUGGAUUUUGGGCGCAGGCGGCCGGUCCGUCGCAAGGCGUGUACUGGACGUCCUGGCCUUCCCUCCGGUUCUCCGCCGGUGCUCUUGACUGAGUGUCGGCGGCGGCCGGAACGUUUACUUUGAAAAAAUUAGAGUGUUCAAAGCAGGCUCUCGAGCCUGGAUAAUGGUGCAUGGAAUAAUGGAAUAGGACCUCGGUUCUAUUUUGUUGGUUUUCGGAGCGCGAGGUAAUGAUUAAGAGGGACAGACGGGGGCAUUCGUACUGUGCCGUUAGAGGUGAAAUUCUUGGAUCGGCGCAAGACGAACGACUGCGAAAGCAUUUGCCAAGAAUGUUUUCUUUAAUCAAGAGCGAAAGUCAGAGGUUCGAAGACGAUCAGAUACCGUCCUAGUUCUGACUAUAAACGAUGCCAACUAGCGAUCGGGGGGGAGUUACAUUGACGACCCCUCCGGCAGCUUACGGGAAACCAAAGU
rnacentral:ncRNA from 1 species